GAAAAAAAAUGUUAUUACAUAUAUUUAUGGAUAAUAUAUGAUGGUCCAAUACUUUAACACGUUCAUUUAAAAAGAAUGACUUUGAAAUAAAUGAUCCUUAAAAAUCAUCAUCAUAAUAGCAUGACACCGAGGUUAUAAGGUUUUAAUAAAGCUCUUACAUUUCUGAUACUAAUUCAUAUAAUGUAUGUGAUAUAGCACUCAAAAGGAAGAAGACUGAGACAAUCUUCUUACAAAAUAUUUAGGGUACAUUUCUUUUGACCAUUUACUCAAUAAUAUAUAUCUGUCACAUAUUCUUUUGGCAUUUUUCUGAAUUAUUAUAUAAAGCUUUAAAAAUGAAAGUUUCAUAUAAAAAUAGUUAUUUAUCUGACUUUUAACAAGUAAACUUUCAAAUUAAAUUACUUGGUAUUCCAUUUACCAAUGUAUAUUGCAUAGAAAGUUAAAUACUUUAAUAUUUAAAAAAACAUCAAGAAGUCAGUUUUUUUAAUGGCUGCUAUAUCUUUAAGUUGGUAGUUCAAAUUUUGUUAAUAAUUUUAAAUUACACAUUCUGUAGGUAUAAAAGUUUACAAAAAAUACAUUCCAAUUUAAUAAAAAAAAGACUUCUAAAUUUACAUUUUCAAACACUGUUGUGAUUGCUAUAAUGACUAUCUUGUAGAUAAAAUUAGUCAAAAUAAGUUAAUUUUUAAAAAUCAAUAACAUAGUAUUCUGGCAAGAUUUCUUUAGAAAUAAAUGAAGGUAAUUAUAAAGUCCAAGUUAUAUAUGUAUUAUUACAAAUAAAUAUGUUCUAAGUAUAAUUACUUUGUUUUAAAAAGCAGAAGAUAAAAAUGCAUAAAUAGGUAAAGAUUUUUAAAUUUAAGUCACCAGUGCAGAAAUCUUGGCACUUAAUCCUUUAAAAUGUUAGAUUUCAAUUUAAAGGAUGACUUCUCACUGGGGAUACUGUGACUUUCUGU
rnacentral:lncRNA from 1 species